UACAGAGGUCUCAAGCGUUGUUCGGAUUCAUUGGGCGUAAAGGGUGCGUAGGUGGCGUGGUAAGUCUGGUGUGAAAUCCCGGGGCUCAACCCCGGAACUGCACUGGAUACUGCCAUGCUUGAGUACUGGAGAGGAGAUUGGAAUUUACGGUGUAGCAGUGAAAUGCGUAGAUAUCGUAAGGAAGACCAGUGGCGAAGGCGGGUCUCUGGACAGUUCCUGACGCUGAGGCACGAAGGUCAGGGGAGCAAACGGG
rnacentral:rRNA from 1 species